CAGAGUAAUGGUUAAAAACUUGUGACAUAUCUGUAAAAUGGAAAUAUGCAGCUAUUAUAAAUAAUAUUUAUAAAGUUUUUUGAGCAUGUGAAGAUUUUUUUAAGAUGAUGAGAAAAUUGUUAUAAGUAAAAAAAAUCACGUAUAAAAUUGUGUACAUAGUUUGAUUCUGUACGUUAAUUAAGCUGUCUCAAUAUUCAAAAAUACAACAGUAUCACUGCUUUCAACUGUGCUCUCUUGAAUUCCAGAUUAACAUCUUGGACAGAUUCCAUAACACUGUGGUUACUUUCAGGUUUUGAAGUAUAGUCUAGUUUUAGACCUUCAGUCUCAUUUCUGAUUCAAUUUCUUUUCCUUCCCUCGUACAGUAGAAGCUGGAACUCUGAACACAACAGAAGUAGGGGAGGCCGUACAGCUGGUUCUGGACAAUGGAGGCGGUCAGCAUCCACCUCCUUUUGUGAAUGGCCCAUGGGUCACAGGUGGGGAGACAUCACUUGUCUCCCUCUGGUUCGUCGUGUUCUUGUCCGAUGCCAAUGCCUCAGAGGCUGAGAUGGUCUCCAGACAGGUGAAGUGUGGGUCCCUUGGGGCAAUGCUCAGCUUUCCCCAGGUCCCCUCUGUUGCUGUGGGGAAGAGAAGGGCAAACUAGACUUCCUUCAGGUUGCCCAGCUGUUUGCCCUCCCAGCUUCUAUGGGUUGUGCAUCUACCACACAUCUGCCUCCAUGCUCUUCUGCUUCUCCUCUAACUCUCCACUCCUUCCCUGGAAUAAUGAGACUUCGGGUGUCCCUGCCACGUCCUUUAAAAUCAUGGCCAACUGAUUGGGGGCAGGAGCCUUCACCUUCUUCUAGGCAUACUGUAUCUUCAAGCCUUAUUGGGAGUGGUUUUUCUACUCUCAGCUUCAGACAUUUCUAGGCUAGAAAUGGACAUUAGUCUCUAUGCAUGCCCCAUAAACAAUGGAAGAUGCUCCCAAAGCCAUCUCAAAUGCCUUAUUCCAAUGGCAGCACAAAGUUACAAAGGGGCUGCAACUUAGCAGGCGUCAGUCAGGGAGCAAGAUGCUAGUCUCCUCUUCUUCAAGUUACCUGUGAAUUGUUCUCCUGGAUUUCUUCCCCUCACCCCUUUGGUGAGGCCCAAAGGCCCAAAGGCCUUUCCUUUGGUGAGAUGAAGACAAAGAAAGGAGUUUCCUAGGGUGGUGGUUGGUAGUGGUAAGAUUGCUUCUAUACUUUUUAAAAAGCACUGGUAGAAGGUUUUGAGUCCUAAUUAUUUAUGGCUCUUUAGAGAAUGAUCUCAGCUUUGGGAAGUAGCCACAAUUCUGGACCAACAGGAAAAAAUCCCAUGCAACAUGUCACUAAGCAGGAAGUGGGUAAGGGGAAGACUAGAGACACUUUCAAGUUUAAUAACUUUUACCCCACUAUUUGUAUUAUUUAAUUUUUAUUAUCUGAAAAGAAAAGUCUUCUCAAUUCAUCCAACUCUUGCAGUUUUCUUAAAUGUCUUAGGUAUUGUCCUAGUGUCAGAGUCUGCCUGGUGUCUGUUCCCAGUUACUAAUGUUGGUGUUAUAGACUGGACCAAAGCUUAUGAAAUGGCUACCCUGUUCUCCCUAACCUUCUACCUGGUCCAGAUACCAUGACCUUAAUCCCACUCUUGUCCUGUCACUAGGAGCAGGCAACUGGCCACUAUGCCUUUUUUUUUUUUUUUUUUUUUUUUGCGGUACGCGGGCCUCUCCCUGCUGUGGCCUCUCCCGUUGCGGAGCACAGACUCCGGACGCGCAGGCUCAGCAGCCAUGGCUCACGGGCCCAGCCGCUCUGCGGCAUGUGGGAUCUUCCCGGACUGGGUCACGAACCCGUGUCUCCUGCAUCGGCAGGUGGACUCCCAACCACUGUGCCACCAGGGAAGCCCGCCACUAUGCCUUUGACAAGAUGUUGCUCCCUGCUGUCUGAUUUCUUACCUGAGCUUUCACAGCCAGGUCCCUCGUUCUUAUCUCAGGAUCCGGUAUGGUGAAUUGCAUUGUUACUGAUGCUCAUCCACAGCCUGGACUUGCCCUGGGUGUCCUGCUUUGCCUCUGAAUUUUCAGGAAGGGCAUCCUGUGCACGUCAGCUUCCCUAAACUCUAAUGCUAGAUUGUGAUCUAUCACUAGUUUCUGCCCAUGCCAGUUCACUAAAACUUCUUUCACCAAGGAUAAGAACAGCUAUGAAUUGCAAUAUUUUUAAAAAUUGUAGCAAAAUACACAUAAAUAUAUAUAAAAUUUACCUUUUUUUUUUUUUUUUGCGGUACGCGGGCCUCUCACUGUUGUGGCCUCUCCCGUUGCAGAGCACAGGCUCUGGACGUGCAGGCUCAGCGGCCAUGGCUCACGGGCUCAGCCGCUCCGCGGCAUGUGGGAUCUUCCUGGACCGGGGCACGAACCCAUGUCCCCUGCAUCGGCAGGCAGACUCUCAACCACUGCGCCACCAGGGAAGCCCUAAAAUUUACCAUUUUAAGUGUACAGUUCAGUGGCAGUAAGUAAAUUCAAAUGUAUAACCAUCACCAUUGUUUAUUUCCAGAAGGUUUCAUCAUCUCAAACAAAAAUGCUGUAUCCAUUAGACAGUAACUCCCAUUCUCUCCCUGCCCUUUGGCUGCUGAUUACCUCAGUUCCACUAUCUGUCUCUCUGAGCUUGCCUAUUCUGGAUAUUUCAUAUGAUAUUAAUGUUUUCCCCAAGGCUUACUCACCUCUGGUUACACUGAUCACUGAGUGCCAGAUUUUUAUGGGUUUUUUUGUUUGUUUUCUGUUCUUUUUUUCUUUUUUUUAAAUUGAAGUAUAGUUGGUGUACAGGAUUAUAUGUUACAGGUAUACAAUAGAGUGACUUACGAUUUUUAAAGGUUAUACUCCAUUUAUAGUUGUUAUAAAAUAUUGGCUAUAUUCCUUGUGUUGUACAAUAUAUCCCUAUAGCUUAUUUUAUACCUAAUAGUUUGUACCUCUUAAUCCCCUACCCCUAUCUUGCCCCACCCCCUUUCCCUCUCCCAACUGGAAACCACUAGUUUGUCCUCUAUAUCUGUGAGUCUGUUUCCCUUUUCUUACAGUGUUAUGUAGGCUCUCCAAACUUUACUUAACCUAGUAUAAGUUCCUUAUAUACAUGUAGUGAGAAGAAACUUUAAAUAUCUUUUAUAAUUCCUUUUCCUUUGGAAUCAUAUUUUUGAAAUUAUCUUCCUAUUGAUUUAAUUAUCAAGAAAAAAGUGCAGUUGCUGAGAUCAAAAAGAUUCUUCGAAUUUACCGAGGGAAAAAAGGUUAAAAAAAAAAAAAGGAAAGAAAGAAAAGAGAAAGCAUGUUAAUUCUUCUUUAAUAAUUCAAGAUUUCAGUGAUCCAAAAGUAUUGGGGAAAAGAAAAUCACCUGAGUAAUAAAGCAUGCAUCAUUUGAACGGAUUAAAGUUCAAAUCACUGCAAAGCAGCUUACUUUUCAUCCAUCACCAUGGAUACAAAAGGACAGCUCAAGUGCAGGCAUCUGACAUCACAAGCAUGUCCAGACAAGCCAGGGAGGGGAGCGGAGCCACAAAGGACUGGAAGAAAAGCCACGAAGGGAGGGGAGGAAGAGGCAGAGGGAAUGGGUUAUUGUUAAAAUGAUAAAUCAGAAGUUCGGUUGGGAGGAUUGAAUAGGUGGAGGCACGAGGCCAGCUGAGAAGCUUGGAGACCAGCGUUUGUUUACAAUGACCUUUAAAUACCUUCUUAGCCAGAAACAGAACCAGAGGAAGACUGAGAAGAGUUCUGGAAGCUAAGAAGUCAAGAUCAAGAUGGCAGCAGAUCUGGUGUCUGGUGAGAACCCACUUCCUGGCUUGCAGUAACGGCAUUCCAGUUUUCCUUUGGAGAAGCACCUCUCUCAGCUCUUCUGGGUGAACAUAAAAAUACAGGUGACUUGAUCAUACCCUUUCCACCUCCUUUCCACCCCAAGGAGCCACUUGGCCACAGUAAUAGUUCAUGUUCAGGUACGAGCAGAGUUAAUACCAGGAUUUCUGCUGGACCAAUCAGAAAAGAGGUGUUCUUUUUCCUACGGCGUUGCUAGAUGAAUAGAAUGUAAGUUUGGCGCUUUGAUGGUCAAACUUGGCAGGGAAAGCCUGCCUGACAUAAAACCUACACAUAAAGAAGUACAUGCAAGAGACAAAGAGAAAACAAAAAUUUAAUAUCAAUAACACUGAGCAGUUGGAUCCAACCAUAUUUGGACCUGGGUUUACUUCUAGAUUUUUCUAUCAUAUAAAACAAUCUAUUCUUCUUUGUUUUUUACUAAGCCAUUUUUAAAAAUUGAGGUAAAGUUCACAUACAGUGAAAAACACCUAUCUUAAUUAUGAAUUUUGAUGAGUUUUGAUAAAGGAAACACUCUUAACUACCUCCUCAGUCAAGAUAUAGUAUAUUCACAUCACUCUUUCACUCCUUUCCAGUCCGUCCCUACCCCACCCCCAUAGUCUACUGUUCUGAUUUUCACCAGUUAAGAUGAACUUCGCCUGUUUUUUAACUGAUUGUUAGUGGAAAUAUACAGAAUAUAUGCUUUUGUGUCUGACUUCUGCUCAACAUUAUACCUUUGAAAUUCAUCCAUGCUGACCAGUAGUUAAUUCUGUUGAUGACCAGCAUUACAUUGUAAGGAUAAUACUGUAUUUAAAAGUAUUAUUCUCAUGUUUAUGGAUAUUUGGGUUGUUUCCUGUUUUGCCUAUGAAUAACGCUGCUAUAAAUGCUAUUGAUUAAGUAUUUUUUGAAUUUUUUUUUAUAUCUCUAGUGUAAAUACCUUGGCGAAAUUACUGGGUCAUGUUAUAAAUGUAUGUUUAACUUCCUAAGAAAUGCUGUCUGCAUUUUCACCUGGAUGUCCCAAAGAUAUCUCAAACAUGGUCCCCAAACCAUUUAUUACUGUCCUUUAUCUCACACUUGCCCUUCUGUACUCACCGUCUUUGGUGAAGGGUACCAGGCGUCUUCUCCAGGAAUUUGGGGUCAACCUGGGAUUCUUCUUCCCCAUCACCCUCUCACAUACAAUCAGUCACCCAAACUUAUAACAUAGGUAAUACACACCCAUUUUCUUUCUCUCCCUACUACAAUUGCAGUAUAACAUA